CUGUGUGUAUUUAAUCUGUGCAUUCACCUGUAUGUGAUACGUUUGUAUUAAUGAGGAUUUUUUUUUUUAAUUAUAGAUGAAUAUAAAUAGUUAGAACGUUCUGUCACAACGAUGUUGUUACGUGUCGUCGCGCUUUUAUUGUCAGUGGUUAGUGGUUAGUAUAGUGACGCGCUCAACGAGCAUCGCGUGCUGCCGUGAGUCCCCGCCCCCCUUCGAGGCCUUUCGAUAGGCCUGAUGAGUCAUAGGACGCAUCACUCCUGAGGCCAAAACCCGUCGGCACUCACACCACGUCGUUCAUUCGUGAGAGACACUGCUGGUAUAGAGCAAUAUUUCAAUAAUAAAUCCAAUCUUUAAGAUGGUUGUCACCUUUCGUUCAUGUUUGCGGUGUGUGACGCAGGCGGUUCAACAAACAUCGUUGCUGCAUUAAAAUCAUUUUUAGUAAUUCCUGCUCUUUUUGGAGAUGUUUCACUCAGUCGCUGCAUAUAUUUAUUUCAAUAGUAAAUAACAAGACAGAAUAAAGAUCUCAGUCACUUCAGCAUAAAGCUUAUAAAACACUUUCGGAUCGGUGCUUGAUACCAAAUUGUCAUUAUCAAAAAAGUCACAAUUAAACAUGAAUAUGCUGAUUUUAUAAUGUGAAUCAUUGUAUUCUGUUAUACAAAUGUGGUCACAAGGGCUGCAGCUGAAAUACACGUCAAAGCAGUUCAAUCAAAGGGGUUUGGGAAACGGUGCCGUGAUAUAAAGGAUCCACACACACGAUAAGGGUCUCCUGCACUUUGAAAUGUCCCGCAGACGAGGAUGCAAAUUUGCGACCAUAUACCGCCCGAUCGUGUCCGCCAGCCGCCGCUUUGAAACACAUGUGGGAAAAUCUGCGUGGCCGCACGCGACAUUCAAUUGUUAGAAUGUUGCCUCAACAUGGACGAAAGGCUAUAGGUGUAAUACACUGGGUUUUUCAUGUAGAGGGAUGUGUUGUGAUUUGUUCUAAUUAGUCACGUAAGCGUAAAUUGUUGAGUUCCGGAGCGGGAGAGUUGCGAGCAGGCUGAUAUAUUCUGGCAGUCCUGAAUAAAUAGGUUCCGUGAAACCCACCACGGUUUUCGGCGCUUAUUUACAUCCCGCCGUGCGUCGUGUUUCGUGAACUCAAUCGCGGAGGUGAAUACGACCGAAGCCAAAACAGGCCGCCAAACAGCCAGCCAAUCAGCGAUUGUGCGU
ensembl:lncRNA